rnacentral:rRNA from 1 species
AGCAGCCGCGGUAAUUCCAGCUCCAAUAGCGUAUAUUAAAGUUGUUGCAGUUAAAAAGCUCGUAGUUGAACUUCGGGGUUUACCCAUUGGUCAGGCUUAAUUGUCUGUACUGGUGAGAUAAAUCUCUACCUUCUGAGGAACUUUCAUGUCAUUAAUUUGGUGUGAUUGGAAAUCAGGACUAUUACUUUGAAAAAAUUAGAGUGUUUAAAGCAGGCUAAAGUCUGAAUACAUUAGCAUGGAAUAAUGAAAUAGGACGGAUUGAUUCUAUUUCGUUGGUU